rnacentral:rRNA from 1 species
GACGAACGCUGGCGGCGUGCUUAACACAUGCAAGUCGAACGGAAAGGCCCUGCUUUUGUGGGGUGCUCGAGUGGCGAACGGGUGAGUAACACGUGAGUAACCUGUCCUUGACUUUGGGAUAACUUCAGGAAACUGGGGCUAAUACCGGAUAGGAGCUCCUGCUGCAUGGUGGGGGUUGGAAAGUUUCGGCGGUUGGGGAUGGACUCGCGGCUUAUCAGCUUGUUGGUGGGGUAGUGGCUUACCAAGGCUUUGACGGGUAGCCGGCCUGAGCGGGUGACCGGCCACAUUGGGACUGAGGUACGGCCCAGACUCCUACGGGAGGCAGCAGUGGGGAAUAUUGCACAAUGGGCGGAAGCCUGAUGCAGCAACGCCGCGUGCGGGAUGACGGCCUUCGGGUUGUAAACCGCUUUCGCCUGUGACGAAGCGUGAGUGACGGUAAUGGGUAAAGAAGCACCGGCUAACUACGUG